rnacentral:rRNA from 1 species
AACGGGUGAGUAACACGUGAGUAACCUGCCCUUGACUCUGGGAUAAGCGUUGGAAACGACGUCUAAUACCGGAUACGAGCUUCGGAGGCAUCUCCAGAAGCUGGAAAGAACUUCGGUCAAGGAUGGACUCGCGGCCUAUCAGCUAGUUGGCGGGGUAAUGGCCCACCAAGGCAACGACGGGUAGCUGGUCUGAGAGGAUGGUCAGCCACACUGGGACUGAGACACGGCCCAGACUCC